UAUUGGACAAGUUUUCUGCCUUACGAUUUGAAGAUGGAAACUCGGAAUCCAUGUCAACAGCAGUUCUACCUUCCUUUCCAACUGCAUCUAUUGACAUCGAUCUUAAUGGAACUAUGUAAGAAUCACCAUCCAAAUUAUUUGAAGAAUUUUUAUCAUAGCUCGUUUUUGUAAUAUCAAAGCCACUUACAGCUAAUGGAUCCAAGUGGGCAUUCGAGAGAGUUUGACCCUUUUGUCCGUAAACUAUAAAAUCAUCACCACCGGACCUCCUGUAGCCGUUUCUUCCUCCAUCAAGUUCUGUAGCCUGCACAUUCAAAUGACCAUCCCCAGAUAGGCUAUCUCUUCGAGAAG
rnacentral:misc_RNA from 1 species